AAUUACAUCACCAUUUCAUGGCACGCGUUUGACGCAUUUGUUAAAAUUUUCGACUUUUCGUGACAGCACGUCAAUUUCGACAUUUGAUUGAUAAUUUUCUAAAGAUCCAUCAAAUUAGUUUGUUUGAAAGUUGGUUUGGGCGCUAAAUGUUAUUAUUUCGUUGUUUUAACUUUAAUUCUAUGAUGUGAGUGUGUGGUAUCCAUUUUUGGUUGCGUGUAUCUUUAUCCCAUAAUGAGCGCUCUCAAGUGCGUGGUUGAAGGGUGCAAUUUAGAAUAUGAUGUAGUCUGCAGCUUCUCGUUCUACAAUGCCAACAUAUCGACGGACAAUGAAGCCAAGCGGCAGGACUGGAUCGAGGGUGCUAUGCACGAGGAGAGCGAGUGCCUCUGGAGACAUGUCAGCUUGCAAUUAUGCGGGUAUCAUUUCGAGCUGGACAACCAGGGUCUCUGGAUCGACUCCCCGAUGCUACCGGAGUUGCUCACUCACCAGGAGAAGACCGCUCCAGUGAUACAGUCGCCUAACGACAAGAAAUACGCAGACAAAGGGCCAAGUUAUCAAAAUCUAUUCGAAAGAUUCGUUGGGGAACAUCGCAGAGUGGCUGAAAUAAUUCGCAUGGAGCACAAUUACAGCGUGGAGCCCGUCAAGGAAGACCCGGAGAGCGUCUCCAGACUGAACGUCAGACAAUUAGUUGAUACCCUGGGUUAUCUAUCUCUGAAGAACCUGCAACGCAAGCAGCUGUGGGUGGUGAAGGUGGAGACGGACAAGGCGGAGGCGUCCAUCACCCAGUCGGAACAGGUCAUCACCAAGAUGCCUGAUCCGCGCCAGAUUAUUGAGAUAAUCCCACAAUCGUCAACAUCGACCUCAGCUGAACCGGAGGCCCAGAACUCAGAAGUUCUACAAAUCAUGGACGAUAACACCAUUUCAGACAACUUCAUAUACGAGAUAGCUGAAGAACAGGAGAUUACCAUGGAAGAAGUCAAGGAAAUACCAGCCACCUCAUCGGAGAACCCUGAAUGGACCGUCAACAUACUCCCCGAUGACACCAAACCAAAGUAUGCUUACAUAAAACACUGUUCUUCGGGCAAGAAGAAACGUCACUUUCACAGCGGACAUGAAUGAAAUCACACUACAAGGUGAUUUUGAGAACUAUUAUAUAUUACCAGAUGUGGAUCCCUCGGUCGGUGUUGAAAUAACUACUAGUUAUGAACCGGAAAACUAUAUUGUUGAGGAAUAUCAGCACCUGGUACUCGAUGAGAGACCGAAGAAAAGGGCUAAUAAGGAUGAUUCUGGUAGAAAAAAGAAGAAGAGGCUCUCAAACCCUCCUGUGAAAGAGGAACCCACUGAUUGGGUCAUUGAAAACAACAUAGUUUACGAGCAAGAUGAAGACUUUGACGAUCCCAAGAAAGUAGCUUCACGUGUAAGAAGAAAAAAUAAAAAGUACCUCGGGUAUGACUUUGUUACUUAAUUAUCUUCUUUGAACAAGGCAUUUGACUUUGGAUUUUCUGUUAUUAGGGCUUGUUGGCUGGUCAGACUUUGUUUUAGAGCUAAGUUUUUAGAUUUUCUAGGUAUAUUAGUCAAUAAUUAUUAUCUUAUAUUCAGUCGACUCGUUUAGAAGUGAUGCUGGACUAUGAGCCUCCUCUACAUAAGAGUGUUACCACACCAAUCGAGCGAUCGUCGAUCGAUGGUAGAAUGGAUUAGUCGACGUCGAUCGAUAGUUUCUACAACACCAAUCGAUCGAUAGCCGAUAGAUUCAAUAUGUCGAUGGUGGAAUGGAUUAGUCGACGUCGAUCGAUAGUUUCUACCACACCAAUCGAUCGAUAGCCGAUAGAUUCAUUGAAAUAAAUGCUUUGAAUUUUCACAUUUUUGGAGCUAAAAUUAAGUUUGACUAGUCAAAUCUACUAUAGGAUGUCAUUUAACUGACUAAACAUGAUUUUAAUUAUGAUUCUGAUAUAUAAAUUAACUUUUUUUGUCUAGUAUCCAUCUAUAAAUGUUUUUAAAGAUCGAUUUUUCGUAAUUUCUCUAUAACAUCUAUGAGUAUGGAAUUAAAGACUCUGUUCUUUUAAAAUGGCUUAGAGAAAAUGCAUUUUGGUAAAACGAAAUGGACUUCAUAUUAAAAUAAAACUAGAAUAAAAUGCUUAGACGGGAAUUGAAUCCAUUUUCAAUGCAAUAUCUCAGGUUUCGACCCCUGUCUUACGCCCGAAUACUGAAACGCUACUCAAUUUUAAGUUGUACUUAAAUAUCGUGCUGUCUCUGUCAUUGUAUAAAGAAUUGAUAGGGACAGAACUACAUUUGAGGGCGUCUUAAAAUUGAGUAGCGUUUGAGUAUUCGGGCAUUAGUCUAGUUAUUUUAGUUCCUAGCUAAAACUAAAAGAGCAAAUAUAUCUUCAAACUAAAAUCAUGUUUAGUACAAAUCAUUAUAUUCACGUAAUCUUGAAAUACGAUAAAAAAAAAUAUUGAACUUCAUUUAAGAUCUCAUAUUGCAAAGAAAAUAUUGACACAUAAUUAAAAUAAUCGGAUCAUUAGUUAAUUUGUUAUUAAAUUAAUAAUGCUAUUAUCAUGACAGACUCACCCCCUAUUACAUGGGACUUAUAACACAUAAAUGGUGAAAAGUGGGUGUUACAUUGCAUAGCUGCACCUCUGCCUACCCCUUCGGGGUUUAAAAAGCAUGAUGCUACACUUAUUACUCCAAAUAAAGAAAUAAAUUUCGAAAAAAUCAUGCAAUCAUGAAUUUUGUCGAUGAUAUCUCUUUAAGAAUCCGGACUCAAACGGGGUAGACUAAAUAGAUCCGUGUAGAAAUUUGUAUUUAUAGUUUAAAAUGUAAGUUACAUGUCACAUAGCUUGCUACGCGCAGUAGUUACAGCUGUGUACAGUCUGUCACUCUCUCAGUCAACGGUAACUGACAAUUCUUAUGUAAGGUGUUCUAAAAGUAUCUGCCACGGCUUUAAUGGGAGGUAGUGUUGUUUGAAGAUUACAAUUUGUGAAUAUAAAUGAUUAAUUAUGAGUAUUUUUUUUUCUUACUCAAAAUCUAUGUAUGAGUUUGUUAUGAAAGAGCUAUCUCUUUCACUGUCUCUGUUGAUAGCAAUUGUUUUCAUUGACGAAGCGACGCAUCGUGUGUAUUUGUGAACCACUUUAUGCAGAGUAGAGUCAAUGUUUAUUUAACUUCUUUAUGUUCUCAAAUUGAAUUAACUGGUCCGGGGUACGAAAUUUCUUCACUAUUGUAAUCUUCAAACACAACACUACCUCCCAUUAAAGCCGUGGCAGAUACUUUUAGAACAAUUUAUAUAAUUUUGUAUAAAAAUUAGUUUGAAAUGUACUUUAUGUAAUUGUAUUGGUAGAUUUUAUAACAUUAUAAUUAUAGGUUUUGAAAUAUCCUAUAAUCUUUAAAAAAAACUCUUCUUGUAAAAUAACAUUAAGAAAAUUACUCAUUUGAUUUUGAACGCCCAAAUAUCGGGUGUCCAUUGGCGAUCGAUUGCUUACCAUCAGGUGAUCCGUCUGCUCGUUUACCGACAUAUAGGGUGACUGGUAAUUAGUGAACGAUAUUUAAACACGUGAUUGUACUCAUGAUUACAAACAACUUUCCCGAAGAAACUUUUUUCGUAUACUCAUUAGUUUUAUUUUUAUCACAAUAACAAAACAAGAAAAUUUCGCGCGCGUGCUUUCGUAUGAUCAGCUGUUAGCAGACGCUAUUUUAGAACUUUACGUGCGCGUGCUAAUGAAUUUUUGUUAUCGUCAUAAAAAUAAAACUAACGAGUAUACAAAACAAGUUUCUUCGGGAAAGUUGUUUGUAAUCAUGAGUACAAUCACGUGUUUAAAUAUCGUUCACUAAUUACCAGUCACCAACAAAAAGUAGUUGUCUUAAUGUUAUUUUUAAAGCAAGAUUUUUUUGAAAAUUUUCAAAGUCAAAUGCCUUGGUUUUAGCGUUAAGAUUUUGUUUAUAUUUUAUUCAUAUUAUUAUUACUACCUAUAUUAAAUAAAUAGUUAGCUUCGUUUUUUGGUUUAACAUUUUAACUGAAAAAUUGAUAUUUGAAUGUGUUUUUUUACAAAACAACGAGUCUAGUUACAAGGCCCUUGAAAAGGCUGGCAACGCACUAGUAACGCCUUUAGUGUUUUGGGUGUAAAUAAGCGGUGCUGAUUGCUUACCAUCUAUAGCGUUAGUAUGAGUUUGCUUUAUGUUACGAAAAUGAAACGAAAGCGCGUUCGGCGCGAAUGAAGCAACUAAUCAGAGCGCCGAACGCGCUCUCGUUCAAUGUAAAGCAAAUUCGUACUAAGGGUUUCAUUUACGGGUCGGGCAAAGUAUUGCUGAGCGAUUUUCGGUUUUUCGAAAAUUUCUCAGUAGUAGCACGGAGUCCGGAAUUGUGCCCAGUAUAUGGCAAUAGGCUCACCCUCUAUUACAUGGGACUUAUAACACAAAUGGUGAAAAGUGGGUGUACAUUGUAUAUCGGCAUUACGUGCCGUGAUGUGCACCUCUGCCUACCCCUUCGGGGAUAAAAGGCGUGACUAAAGAAUAUGUCAAAUAUCAAUUUUUAAGUUAAAUGCCUAACUAAAUAUUAUGUAUUAUAAUAUCUAAUAUUGUGAUGAAAUAUUAAAGGAGUAGUAAACUUAAAGAAAGAGAAAAAAUAACAAAAAAAUCACAUUUUAUUCAUUUUCAUGUAUAUUUGUUUGAAUUUAUUGUUGGUUGGGUUAAAAAACUAUUUGCUUUUUAUCUUUAACAUAUAAUAUAUCUUGUCUGUAGUUCCUAGGUUAUUAUUGAAAAUUUAGGUUUUAUUCUAUACUUCAUACUGCCGCAAACAUUGUUUUCUCACCUUUUAAACCUUCCCUGGACUUUCACAAAUAAUUCAAGACCAAAAUUUGCCAAAUUGGUCCAACCGUUCUCGAGUUUUAGCGAGACUAACGAACAGCAAUUGAUUUUUAUUAGUUAUACCGUGAUACCACGGCCUCACAGAAAACCGACGUGAAACAAUGCUUGCGUUGUGUGAGUGAGGUUACCGGAGGCCUAAUUACCCGCCUUCCCAAUCCCCGAUUCCCCAACCGUUAAAUUCCUAACCCCCAAAAGGCCGGCAACGCACUUGUAACGCCUCUGGUGUUUCAAGUGUCCAUGGGCGGCGGCGAUUGCUUACCAUCAGGUGAUCUAUCUACCCCUUCUAGGGAUAAAAGGCAUGAUGCACUUUAUAUUAUUAUAUUGAAUAUUACUGUUUUAAUUUUCAAAAUAUUAUUUUAAAAAGUUGUGUCAAAUAUUUUUUUAACCCAACAUUUUAGUUUGAUCAUUAGCCUAGUAGAGUAUCAUGGAUUAUUUGUAUCGUUGUAAGUACUAUGAAGCAGUGUUUUAAAUAAAUACAUUUCUUUUUAAAAACAA